ACCACAAAGCCUGGCUGUUUUAUUUUGAAAUUGGAUUUAUUUUGUAAAGUAUCCUGCUGCGCUGUGGCCUUCCUGUAUGUGCUUACCUGCCUGGCUUGGCACAUUUCGCUCGCGGAAGAAGCAGAGGAGACGCCGAAACGAUCG